ensembl:lncRNA LINC02045 long intergenic non-protein coding RNA 2045
GGGAACUUGUUCCGGUGCUAUUCCAGUUUGUGGAAGCUUCGUUCUUUUGCUCUUUGCAAGAAAUCUUGCUACUGCUCACUCUUUGGGUCCAUGCUGCCUUUAUGAGCUGUAACACUCACCGUGGAGGUCUGCACCUUCACUCCUGAGCCAGCGGGACCACGAACCCACCAGAAGGAAGAAACUCCCAACAUCAAAACGAACAAACUCUGGACAGGCCACCUUUAAGAACCGUAACACUCAGGCGAGGUUUUGCAGUCUCAUUCUUGGAGUCAGUGAAACCAAGAACCCACCAAUUCCGGACACGAGUGCAGAGUUGAUGUGAGAAGAAGCUAAUAUGGUAUGAAAUGCACCCAUCUCGGUUUUUGACCUAUAGUAUUAAAUGCACCCAUCUCAGUUUUUGACAUAUGGCACCAGGAUUACAAAGCUUAACAAGUCAUGAUUUAGAUUCAGAAGUUACAAAGAGUGGAAAAGGUCAUAUUCUUUCUUAUGAGGAGACAAGAACUCAGGUUGCUGCAGAUCCAUAUGGAGGAUAUGCCUCUGGUUACAUAUUUUGGUGCCAUGUGAGUCGGAUACGUUCUGUUGCUAACAAUACAGUACGUAACCUUUUGAGAAUGGCUUCCUUCACUCAACGUGAUGCUUUUGAGAUUCAUCCAAGUUGUUAUGGGCAUCAGUUGCCAGCUCUUUUUAAUGGAAAGUAAAUCUACUUGCAAAG